rnacentral:rRNA from 1 species
GGUGAACGCUGGGCGGCGUGCCUAACACAUGCAAGUCGAGCGGUGCAGUUUGAAGCUUCGGUGGAAAGCUGCAUAGCGGCGGACGGGUGAGGAAAACGUAGGAACGUGCCCCUUGGAGUUGGAUAGCCACGGGAAACUGUGGGUAAACCGACAUAGACUCGAGAGAGUAAAGGCCGAAAGGCGCCAAGGGAGCGGCCUGCGGCCCAUCAGGUAGUUGGUAGUGUAAAGGACUACCAAGCCGACGACGGGUAGCCGGUCUGAGAGGAUGGCCGGCCACAAGGGCACUGAGAGACGGGCCCUACUCCUACGGGAGGCAGCAGUGGGGGAUUUUGGACAAUGGGCGAAAGCCUGAUCCAGCGACGCCGCGUGGAGGACGAAGCCCUUCGGGGUGUAAACUCCUUUUCUCAGGGAAAAAGGAUGAUGGUACCUGAGGAAUAAGCCCCGGCUAACUACGUG